UGAUCUUGGCUCACUGCAACCUCCACCUUGCGGGUUCAAGUGAUUCUUGUGCCUCAGCCUCCUGAGUAGCUGGGAUUACAGGCACAUACCACCAUGCCCAGCUAACUUUUUGUAUUUUUAGUAGAGAUGGGGUUUCACCAUGUUGGCCAGGCUUGUCUUGAACUCCUGACCUCAAGUGAUCCACCCACCUCCCAAAGUGUUGGGAUUACAGGCGUGAGCCACCAUGCCCGGCCUCAUUUUUGUUUUAGUAGUCAUCAGAUAUAAGAUUACUCUACCUUAAAAGAACAAGUUAAUGAGAUGAACUCUAUCAGCUUUUAAAUAAGUCUGAGAUAAUUUGUACCACUUGGAUUUUUGUAUACAUGUUCAUUGCAUUUAAUAAUUCGUCAGUAACUCCAGCAUAUAGCAGUGAACCAACAUGAAAAUAAAUUAUUUUUUGAAACACUAGGGCUAUUUUGUGUUCAUCUGGUUAUUAAAUGUUCUCAUGUGAUAUUCUUGCAAAUUGAAUGUCAUCUCCCUUGAGAUUUUAUAAGUGCUUGGUAAAUAUCUUCAUAGUCUAAAACAGGGAUUGGCAAACUGUGG
rnacentral:lncRNA from 1 species